rnacentral:rRNA from 1 species
GGGCGGCCUACACAUGCAGUCGAGCGGUAACAGAUCCAGCUUGCUGGAUGCUGACGAGCGGCGGACGGGUGAGUAACGCAUAGGAAUCUACCCGGUAGUGGGGGAUAACCUGGGGAAACCCAGGCUAAUACCGCAUACGUCCUACGGGAGAAAGGGGGCUUAGGCUCCCGCUAUUGGAUGAGCCUAUGCCGGAUUAGCUGGUUGGUGAGGUAAUGGCUCACCAAGGCGACGAUCCGUAGCUGGUCUGAGAGGAUGAUCAGCCACAUCGGGACUGAGACACGGCCCGAACUCCUACGGGAGGCAGCAGUGGGGAAUAUUGGACAAUGGGGGCAACCCUGAUCCAGCCAUGCCGCGUGUGUGAAGAAGGCCCUCGGGUUGUAAAGCACUUUCAGCGAGGAAGAACGCCUGUCGGUUAAUACCCGGCAGGAAAGACAUCACUCGCAGAAGAAGCACCGGCUAACUCCGUGCCAGCAGCCGCGGUAAUACGGAGGGUGCAAGCGUUAAUCGGAAUUACUGGGCGUAAAGCGCGCGUAGGUGGCUUGAUAAGCCGGUUGUGAAAGCCCCGGGCUCAACCUGGGAACGGCAUCCGGAACUAUGAGGCUAGAGUGCAGGAGAGGAAGGUAGAAUUCCCGGUGUAGCGGUGAAAUGCGUAGAGAUCGGGAGGAAUACCAGUGGCGAAGGCGGCCUUCUGGACUGACACUGACACUGAGGUGCGAAAGCGUGGGUAGCAAACAGGAUUAGAUACCCUGGUAGUCCACGCCGUAAACGAUGUCGACCAGCCGUUGGGUGCCUAGCGCACUUUGUGGCGAAGUUAACGCGAUAAGUCGACCGCCUGGGGAGUACGGCCGCAAGGUUAAAACUCAAAUGAAUUUGACGGGGGAG